rnacentral:rRNA from 1 species
GAUGAACGCUGGCGGCGUGCCUAAUACAUGCAAGUCGAGCGAACGGACGAGAAUCUUGCUUUUCUGGUGUUAGCGACGGACGGGUAAGUAACACGUGGAUAACCUACCUAUAAGACUUGGAUAACUUCGGCAAACCGGAGCUCAUACCGGAUAAUAUUUUGAACCGCAUGGUUCAAAAGUGAAAGACGGUCUUGCUGUCACUUAUAGAUGGAUCCGCGCUGCAUUAGCUAGUUGGUAAGGUAACGGCUUACCAAGUCAACGAUGCAUAGCCGAGCUGAGAAGGUGAAGGGCCACAGUGGAACUGAGACACGGUCUAGACUCCUACGGGAGGCAGAAGUAGGGAAGCUUGCGCACUGGGGGAAAGACUGAAGGAGCGGCGCCGCGUGAGUGCUGCAGGUCUUCGGACCGUAAAACUCUGUUAUUAGGGAAGACCGCAUGCGUAAAUAACUGAGCUUAGUGUGACGGUAGUGAAUCAGAAAGCAACGGCUAACUACGUG